rnacentral:rRNA from 1 species
UACGGAGGGGGCUAGCGUUGUUCGGAAUCACUGGGCUUAAAGCGUGUGUAGGCGGACUUCUAAGUACCUUGUGAAAUCCCACGGCUCACCCGUGGAACUGCUUGGUAUACUGGUUGUCUUGAGCCUUCUAGGGGCGAGUGGAACAAAUGGUGGAGCGGUGAAAUGCGUAGAUAUCAUUUGGAACGCCAAUGGUGAAAACAACUCGCUGGGGAAGUGCUGACGCUGAGACACGAAAGCCAGGGGAGCGAACGGG